GAAAUGCGAUACGCAAUGCGAAUUGCAGAAUUCCGCGAAUCAUCAGAUUCUUGAACGCAACUGGCGCUGGAGGGAUAUCCUUCCAGCAUGUCUGUUUCAGUGUCUGAAAACUUCCUAUCUCAUUUUAAUGUGUUUGACAAGGAGUAAUUCAUUUUUAUAAUGAAUUAUAUACAUUUUCCAAGUCUUACAUGAAAGAUGUAUGUGUGGGUCUUUGGAUCCAUCGAAUUGGUCAUCGAUUUCUCGGUGAUUUCGAUUGGAUGUCACCAAUUACUCGUAUACACAUAGAAUAUAUAUAUAUUUAUAUAUAUAUACUUACUUUAUCAUUUGCAUCUGAAAUCAGGCAAGAAAACCCGCUGAACUUAA
rnacentral:misc_RNA from 1 species